GGGGUGUAGCUCAGUUGGUUAGAGCGCAUGCCUGUCACGCAUGAGGUCGCGAGUUCGAGCCUCGUCACUCC
rnacentral:tRNA from 1 species